AACGAACGCUGGCGGCGUGCCUAACACAUGCAAGUCGAACGGAAUUGAGGGGCUUGCUCUUCAAUUUAGUGGCGCACGGGUGAGUAACGCGUAGAUAAUCUGCCUGACGAUCCGGGAUAACACUUCGAAAGAGGUGCUAAUACCGGAUAAGCCCACGGGUUCUUUGGAAUCUGCGGGAAAAGGGGGGGACCUUUUGGCCUUCUGUCGUCAGAUGAGUCUGCGUACCAUUAGCUAGUUGGUAGGGUAAAGGCCUACCAAGGCUACGAUGGUUGGCUGGGCUGAGAGGAAGAUCAGCCACACUGGAACUGAGACACGGUCCAGACUCCUACGGGAGGCAGCAGUGGGGAAUUUUGCGCAAUGGGCGAAAGCCUGACGCAGCAACGCCGCGUGAGUGAUGAAGGCUUUCGGGUCGUAAAGCUCUGUCAAUGGGAAAGAAGUGUAUUGCGGCUAAUAUCCACGAUACUUGACGGUACCCAUAAAGGAAGCACCGGCUAACUCCGUGCCAGCCGCCGCAGUAACAC
rnacentral:rRNA from 1 species